GACGAACGCUGGCGGCGUGCUUAACACAUGCAAGUCGAGCGGUAAGGCCCUUUCGGGGGUACGACGAGCGGCGAACGGGUGAGUAACACGUGGGUGACCUGCCCUCAGCUCUGGGAUAAGCCUGGGAAACCGGGUCUAAUACUGGAUAUGACUCCAUGACGCAUGUUGUGGGGUGGAAAGCCUUGUGCGGCUGAGGAUGGGCCCGCGGCCUAUCAGCUUGUUGGUGGGGUGAGGCCUACCAAGGCGACGACGGGUAGCCGGCCUGAGAGGGCGACCGGCCACACUGGGACUGAGACACGGCCCAGACUCCGUACGGGAGGCAGCAGUGGGGAAUCUUGCGCAAUGGGCGAAAGCCUGACGCAGCGACGCCGCGU
rnacentral:rRNA from 1 species